rnacentral:rRNA from 1 species
CCUACGGGGGGCAGCAGUGAGGAAUAUUGGUCAAUGGGCGGGAGCCUGAACCAGCCAAGUCGCGUGAGGGAAGACGGUCCUAUGGAUUGUAAACCUCUUUAGGCGGGGAGCAAUGCCGGGCACGCGUGCCCGGAGGGAGAGUACCCGCAGAAUAAGCAUCGGCUAACUCCGUGCCAGCAGCCGCGGUAAUACGGAGGAUGCGAGGGUUAUCCGGAUUUAUUGGGUUUAAAGGGUGCGUAGGCGGAUUUUUAAGUUGGCGGGAAAAUGUCCGGGCUCAACCCGGGCCGGCCGGUGAAACUGGGGAUUUUGAGGGGGCGAGAAGUAUGCGGAAUGCGGGGUGUAGCGGUGAAAUGCAUAGAUAU